CCCGAUAGUAAACCAUCUCCAUCACAUCCAUGUAGCCAUCCGUCCAUCAACCUGUAUCUCAGGAACAAAUGUAGAUACAUUCAUUUUAAGCAUACAUGGUACAUUUGCAAAAAUUAACCUGACUUAUUUUGUUCCAGCAAAUCUCAAUAUAUUUGAGAGCAAUCAAAUCACACAGCAUGUUUCUGAUCAUAUAACUGUGCUAGAAGUCAAUGAUUAAAAGCUAAUUCAAAAUUAUUAUUUGCUUGGAAAUUCAAAGUGCCCUUAUAAGAUAUAAACAUAAGAAAGAAUCCAAAAUGAAACAAGAUUGCCUUUAAACUCAAUGAUAAGAUCAUAACAUGGCAAUAAAAUGUCUCCCUCUGGCCUGGGAAUUCCUCUUUGUGGCACAAGGUUGUGUGAUCUCAAAUCACCCCUAACCCACCUAGACAUCUUAACAUCCGAAACCGAGUGAUGAUGUCCUUAUCUAUAUCAUCUUACUGCCCGUGUGUGUGGACUUUAAAUUCUGAACCCAAAUGAGGGGGAGAAAACCAAGUUGACUUUCAUGACUGACCUCUCAGGGACGUCCAAGGAAUCUGUGCAUUUCAAGAAACAAAGUUCAUCAGCUUCUCUCCUAAGGUAUUCGCCCACAAUACCCAGAGGGCUUGGCAGCAUCAUGUGUGAUGGGUGGGGAGCUCCAAGCAGGUGGGUAGGACCCAGGGGCCUGGUGACCAGGACGGACCCCCACUGUCCAUCACCUUUCCUGGCCCUGUCCUCAGCUAAACUUCCCACAGGCCUUCUGCCCGAUCACACAGAGUGUGCCCAAACUCACUCAGGCCUCUGGCGGCUGAAAACCACUGCUUUAAAUCCCUUUACAUUUACUAUCACAUAAGGUUAUUGUAAAUGAGAAAUAUUCUAUUGAUGCUACAAAUGGAAAGCCAAUGCCUUUACCAUAAAUAGAAAAACAACCCUAAGAAACAAGCAAAACAAAAACAAAACGGGCUGGGUGUGGUGGCUCACGCCUGUAAUCCCACCACUGUGGGAGGCCGAGGUGGGUGGAUCACAAGGUCGGGAGUUCCAGACCAGCCUGGCCAAUAUGGUGAAACCCUGUCUCUAAUAAAAUACAAAAAUUAGGUGGGUGUGGUGGUGGGCGCCUGUAGUCCCACCUACUUGGGAGGCUGAGGCAGGAGAAUAGUUUGAACCUGGGAGGCAGAGUUUGCAGUGAGCUGAGAUUGCACCACUGCACUCCAGCCUAGGAGACAGAGUGAGACUCUGUCUCAAAAACAGCAACAACUACAAACAAACAAACAAAAAACGGGGUGAACAAAACUAUGGAAUUCAAUUCUAUUUGUAUGCUGCAGCCAUGUUCCAGCCCUAGAUUUGGCUGGAUAAUAAAUAACCUUUUUAAGUGUCGUUGGGCACUUGUCUGGUU
rnacentral:lncRNA from 10 species